AUGGAAGUGAUGACUAUUUCCCCAGAUGAUCGAAGCUGAACAUACUGAGCGAAUCUUUAAUCUCUAUUUCUGUAGGGAUUCCAAGCCAGAAGUCUGAUCCAU